GUAAAAUAACAUACUUUUAAAAAGUACUUUCCAAAAUAGUAAAAUUAAUAUCGGAAAGUACUUUGCAGAAGUAUGUUCUUUUAC
rnacentral:miRNA from 1 species